GACAUUUGAUAAAGGCUUUACCAUAUGGUCAUGGGGAUACACUUUACUCAGGCAAACAGUCCUGGUGAGACUGUAUAAGCAAAUAAAAUUUGCUUCAAAGUAAAUUUAUGGUUGCAGAAGGAAGCCCUCUGCACUUUGCACUUUCAAAAUAGACUUCAUGCAGUAUAAAUGAAGAGUUUAGCAGUUGUUUGCAUUUCCUCUUUCACCUUUUCAGGCAAAUAUUUGAUCAUUUUAUCUCACAGGUAGUAGACAGCUCAGCAACAUGGAACAGUAUGCUGGUAUACGCACGGAAAAAGAAAAAUAUAUUGAUGUGCCUCAAGAUGGGAGAGGUAAGAUCAGACUUCACGGAGCAGCUUUCAAGAAAACUAAUUAAAUGACAAAGACUUAAAAAUGGUUGAUAAGCAGCAGAGAGAGAGAAACUACAGGAUGGAGAUUGAUCAAGUCACCUGAAGAGAAGCACCUUUCAGACAACUUCUAUAGGCAAAUGUUAAGAAAGACUUUCCAGAAGAAAGCAGUCUGUAAGCAAUAUUUUAAUUUUUGACCGACAAUAUUAUCUUUCAAAGGAAUCAUGUUUGAGAAAAUGCUCAGUAGGAAGAAAAUUAAGUUGCUCUGGCAAAUCCACACAAAGGUGGAAAAAGAUCACAAGACAAAGCUUUGGUAGAUAACUUUUCUUUGCUUCCCCGUCCAUCUAUUGCUAUUUGAGCCUAAUCUAAGUGUCAGAAUACUGAAUGUGAGUUUUUCCAAAGUUCUCUGGUGAAUAUUUUGUCACAAUGAGGUAGAUGCUGGCAGUCCCCAUCACUGCUACCCGUGUUGUCAGGAACAGAUGAGUAAAGCUUUCCCACCCAAUCAAACUGCAGGGUAGCAACUGGUUCAGCCUUAGUACACAUUUUAGGAUCACUGCCAGUGAUUCUAAUAAGACAUCAAACAUCUGAGCACAGCUCAGCUUUAGCUUCACAUGCUUUCCUGAGGAGGGGAGAUUUUAUUAAUAAGCAAAACAGAUACCCCAUUCCUCCCCCAUACUCCUUGAAGCUGAAAGAAAAUUAGAAGAAAAGCAACAAACUUUGUAUUACAAAAGCAAUAAUACCAUUGUCCCUCUGCUGUACAAGGCAAUAAUCCAAUUCCCUCAUCCACUGACAGGUGUCAGAGUUUAUCUCUCACAAAUCUAAGGAUUCAUUUGUAAGCUGAAAGGGCAAUGAUGCUACCAUGGAAGCAUGUGGAGUACUUGGUCACUAAGUUGCAAUAGCUUGACUUAACUUUCCACAGGACAGGUUUAUUUUAAAACCAUACAGCAUCAAUUAUAUGAGCAGACCCUCUGAAAUUUAAUAAUUUAUUAAGAGAGAGAAAGGGAAAUGGAGAACCUGGCGAUUACAACUAAAUAGUAGUUCAUCUAGAAGUUGUAGGACAGUGCCAUGCUAAUGCCAAAUUAAUUCUUCAUGCCUCAUAUUUUGAGGCAUGCUGCAAAUCAGUAAUUUUAUAAUAAUGUUAUAUUUUAUUGUACAACCAGCGUGAGGAACACCUUGCCGAUGAAUAUUAAGAAACACCUUGUUAGUGAACAAUCAAGUUGGGGUGUUUUUUUGUACCUCUUUGAUUUGAGUGCAUUUUAGCCUUCCAUUGAACUCAAUGAGCUAGUUUAUAGUUAUUGGAGUAUAUGAUGGUACAUGACCAAACCCACCUAGGAAUAAAUACUGUUGGGGUAGCCAAGACUGGAGGACAUAGGAGUGUCCAGUCUCCAUUCUUUGGACCCAAUCUGAGUGGCAUAUUAAUAUGCUCAUGUCCCUUUUCUUUGCAAUCCAACUAGUAAAAUAAAUAAAUAAAUAGAAGCAGAGUAUCAUUGUGUAAGGACAGGCAACAGCUAAUGAGCAAGAAUUCAAAUGCUACAGAUAAGUGUGUCACCCUCCAGGCAUUAGGCUCCAACCUGUUCUAGGUAAGCAUACGCCUGGCCCACUCUUGCUCUUCACAGAAGCUCCUGUGCAUGCUCCUCUGAAUGCAACCCUGCUUGCAGAGCUGUCGUAGUGCAACUGGGGUGUUUGACAUUGAAUGAAAUGCAGCAUUUCAAACAAAAAGCAGACAAUAUUUUUUAAACCUUGUUUCACUCUAAACAUAAGAGAAUUUAGUUUUCUAACAAGAACAUUUAGAGCAUUGCAGAACUAUUUAAAGCACUUCAGCUGGGCACAAAAAGGACCUCCAGCAAACAAACACUGUAAGGAGCUUGCAGAUAGCAGCAGACAGUCCUGGCUGCUCUCUCCUUGGAGAUUAGAACUUCAGCAGGGAAAGGGUCAGAGCUCCUGGUGUUGGGACACCUAGCCCAAUGAGGAUGUAAAGUGGUGCCAACUUGCAAGAAAAACAAAGGAAGCCAAGUAGCUGGGAACAAUGCCAUCAAUACUUCUAAAGGUAUCACGUCUUCUCCCCACUCCCACUUUGGCUCCAAGAUCCAUAACCGUUGAAGACAGCCACCAAAGUAUGUAUCUCAGUAAUCAGUCUUCUGUUGGCGCUUUGCUCCUUUUACCCUCUAUCAGCACCUACUUUCAUUGUGAGGUGAUGACCUCCACAGAGAGCUUUGUAAAGAGCUUGUGUUCAUGAAGGAAUUUGUAUUAGAUACUGGUUUGUGUUACUUACUGUAUUUUGUAAGUUGUUUUUGUUUUUUGUUUUUUUUUUUUUCCCUUUGGGAACUGUGUGUUAUUAAUGAGCAGUUUUAUGCUUUACUUCUAGUACAUUAAUACCUUUUUAUUGAUGUGCUUUUUGUUUGUGUGCUUGUUUUCCUUUGAUUUUCUACACAGAGCCAGCUAAUAUAAGGUAGAUACUCUCUGGCUGAAAUUCUGAUUUUGCCUACCAAUUAACUUAUGGAUAAAUCCACAUCGUAGCUGUUGACGUUCAUCAAUUGUGUUGUUAUGACCAUCUGAUAGCCUACCUAAUUUAGCGGAAUAUAAGAUCUUGAAUAAGACUAGUGCUUGCCAGGCCUCAAACUAAAGGGAAACAUUGCACCACAUGUACUUCCCUAUCACCAUUGCUAUCAGCCUUUCUCCCUUAUUGAUGAGACAUUGCAGAAGAGCGCUGGCUGAACAUCCCAACCAUCUGUAUAGCAGUGCUCUGAUAUCCUGGUGCAUUCACCUGAUCAAAAGUAAUUACUGUGAACCAGAUGAACUGCAAUGAAUCACUCAAUUAUUUCUGCAGAAAGAGCCUGGUUCAAAUGCAAUCUCUCUCUAAAAGAAAGACUUGGACUAAAAUAGAUAUAUUUCUCUAUGUCCAUCCUGAUAUCGUUGGAAAAAUAAGGGAUAUAAAAUCAACAUUAAUGAAAGCGCAUAAUUUCAUUGUGCAUCCUAUUCACCAAUACCAACUAUUUCAGUGGCUAUUAAUGACAUUCACGCUCCAGAAGCCUCCUUCCCUGUCCAACUCAUUUUCUCUCCCAUGUUUUACUAAGAACUGAGUGUCCAACUUCUUAAUAAUUGCUGUGUAUAACAUAGAACAUAAGUUCUAAAAGUUAUAAAUUCAUAAGUUAUAAAGCUUGUGCAGGACUUGGUGUUGUAAUUAACCAUCUGUUGUGCCUGGUUAUCGAUCUUACAAGAACACAAAGUGAAAACAACCUGGCCUCUUAAUGUAUAAAUCAGCGUAUUGUAGCAGCUAUUUUAGAUAACUGUUUUUAAUAGUUUUAUUAUGGCUGUAAUGUCUAUCUGAGGACUGUCCACUUGCAGAAGCAUUGAAAUAAUACAUCAAAAUGAUUUUUAAACUCAGUUCUAUUUAACUACCAGUGAUGGUGUAUGUAAAUUAGGGCAACAAAAACAAAACCCUACCAACUUACUGGGAAUAAACAUCUUUUCUCGCCAUUGAAAAUCCUCUUGUAAAAAAGGCAUUUCUUCUAGUCCUCCUUUUACAUAAAUAGUAAAUAACUUAGAAGCUAAGAUAUGCAGUACGAUAGUCUAUUUUAAUGGUCUGCAAUCAAAUUUUAGGCUAAUUAAGCUAACUAGAAAUUCUAGGGUUACAGUGAUUACUCACUCUUUAUUGACAUAUUGACAAUAAUACUGUUUACAUAACACUUGAUGUUUAAAAUAAAAACGUGCCUGUGUCCAGUGAUUUGAUAAUCUAGUUUUUGAUCUAAUCCUGUCCUAUUUUUUGCAGCAUAAUCUAACCUCAUAUUAUGAAUCAUGUUGUCUUUCUAAAGUGAUUGCCAAGUAAACCAAAAAUGUGUUUUACACUGCUAUUGCACUGCUCUUGUCUUUAUAUACAGUAGUUUUUAUAAAGAUGUCCUUAGGUUUUAAUAAAUGAGUGUAACAUAAACUAAUCUCUGUAAUAAAACUUGUUUUAAUGUUUCAAGA